UACGUAGGGUGCGAGCGUUGUUCGGAUUCAUUGGGCGUAAAGGGUGCGUAGGUGGCGCGCUAAGUCAGGUGUGAAAUUUCGGAGCUUAACUCCGAAACUGCAUUUGAUACUGGCGUGCUUGAGGACUGGAGAGGAGACUGGAAUUCAUGGUGUAGCAGUGAAAUGCGUAGAUAUCGUAAGGAAGACCAGUGGCGAAGGCGGGUCUCUGGACAGUUCCUGACGCUGAGGCACGAAGGCCAGGGGAGCAAACGGG
rnacentral:rRNA from 1 species